ACUAAAGGUGCCCUGGGGGAAGCCUACUGGAGUCUCUCCAGUCUCUAAAGAAAAACCCUUCCAAUUCAGGAAAAGAUAAGCGGACUCAGGGCUGCAGAAAAACUUCCAGGCAACCCCGGGCGGUUUUGACGUCAGGAGUAGGUGGAAAGGAGAGUCACCAAUCUAGGGACAUGCCAGAGAGCAGAGCGCGUGCUGGAGGCUGGGAGAGGUGGCCUGGGAACCAGGGAGGCGAUCGGACAGAAAAGGGAGCUUUCAGAGGCCUCUAAUGUGAGAGGCUUUGGACAAAACCAGCCAACUGCAAGGGAGCACCUUGGAGAAGGUGGUCUUCCCCUGCGUUGCGUCACCACCCACAGUUCCCACAGCAACCGGGCUCUACCAGAAGUUCCCAGGAUGCAGAGGGCUCCUGAACAUCACAUAAUGCUCCGAAGGCCUUCAGAGACUUCAGAGGGGUCCCCAGGAUGUGGACUCU